rnacentral:lncRNA from 1 species
AGUGGGUAUUCAUGAAAAUACAGCAAACUCUCUUUCCAGAGUCUGGACUGUACUGAGAAACUGCUAGUACCGAUCAAUCCUAGAGAAAUUUUGAUUGCAGCACUUGGUCCUCGGCAACUGCCAACUUUUCCUGAUGUGAAUGUAAAGAUAAAAGGAGGUAACAUAGACCAUCAGCAUGCUGCAAACGUUCUGAAAAAGUCAAAAAGCUUUGAAGUACAACAUUCCAAGGAUCGGCCAUUAUCAGCUCGAGAAAGGAGAAGAUUAAAGCAAUCCCAAGAGGACAUGCUUUCUUCUGGGCCUUCUAUAAGACAAAUGUCUUAUAAUGCAUCAACAGAAACAAAACUUCCAAAGGAAGACAGUUCUAUUCAGAUUGCUCAGUUUACUUCAGAAUCCAGCACUGGUAAGAAGAAAAGCUUAACUGGUUGUUGCACUGAGGAUGAACUGAGCUCUUCUGCAAGCUCCACAGAAAAAUCAGAUGGAGAUUAUAAAGAAAAGUAGGUGUUUUCUGUCCAUAGUUAUGUGUGGUUUACACAUGUUAAUCACAUAUAUAGUUU